rnacentral:rRNA from 1 species
AUUGAACGCUGGCGGCAUGCCUUACGCAUGCAAGUCGAACGGCAGCACGGGUGCUUGCACCUGGUGGCGAGUGGCGAACGGGUGAGUAAUACAUCGGAACGUACCUUAUCGUGGGGGAUAACGCAGCGAAAGCUGUGCUAAUACCGCAUACGCCCUGAGGGGGAAAGCGGGGGAUCGAAAGACCUCGCGCGAUUAGAGCGGCCGAUGCCUGAUUAGCUUGUUGGUGGGGUAAAAGCCCACCAAGGCGACGAUCAGUAGCUGGUCUGAGAGGACGAUCAGCCACCCUGGGACUGAGACACGGCCCAGACUCCUACGGGAGGCAGCAGUGGGGAAUUUUGGACAAUGGGGGCAACCCUGAUCCAGCCAUGCCGCGUGAGUGAAGAAGGCCUUCGGGUUGUAAAGCUCUUUUGUCAGGGAAGAAACACCGGCUCUAACACAGUCCGGGAAUGACGGUACCUGAAGAAUAAGCACCGGCUAACUACGUGCCAGCAGCCGCAGUAA